rnacentral:lncRNA from 1 species
AUUUGAAGUUGUAGCCAAAAAUAUAAAGAAUCAUCCUUGUCUGCAUGAAUGCUUUCAAUUUCUAAAAGCAGUGGUAACUAUCACUAUUAGUGCAAGGCCCCCCACAUCUAUGCGGCAAGUGCCAUAGCUCGAAACUGAAUUUUUUCUGUAGUGUUUCACAAGGCGUCUGAUAUGUCCACAUUAGAUAUGUGAUGUGUUUAUUUUUAUUUAUCCCAGUGUGGAGAGGGCAUCGUUAAAUUGUUUUUUUAUUUUUGCAUGUCUUGUUUUUUGGUUUAUUUCUGAAUUUAUCAAGCAGCUGUCUCAUGAUGCUAAAGUGACUUAUGUAAUGGCAAUCAGCUUU